rnacentral:rRNA from 1 species
UACAGAGGUCUCAAGCGUUGUUCGGAUUUACUGGGCGUAAAGGGCGCGUAGGCGGUCGUGACAAGUCACUUGUGAAAUCUCCGGGCUUAACUCGGAACGGUCAAGUGAUACUGUCGGACUAGAGUACAGAAGGGGCAACUGGAAUUCUCGGUGUAGCGGUGAAAUGCGUAGAUAUCGAGAGGAACACCUGCGGCGAAGGCGGGUUGCUGGGCUGAUACUGACGCUGAGGAGCGAAAGCGUGGGGAGCGAACAGG